rnacentral:rRNA from 1 species
CCCCACUGCUAUCGGGAUAGGACUAAGACAUGCUAGUCGUGUGAUUCAGGCAAAACGAGUCACGGCACACAGCUCAGUAACACGUGGCUAAUCUGCCCUUAGGACAAGAACAACCCCGGGAAACUGGGGCUAACUCUUGAUAGGCAAAGAACUCUGGAAUGAGUCUUUACCUAAAUAGAUUCACGUUAUCCUCGUGAAUCUGCCUAAGGAUGAGGCCGCGACCGAUCAGGUUGUUGGUGAGGUAAUGGCUCACCAAGCCUUUUACCGGUGCGGGCCGUGGGAGCGGGAGCCCGGAGAUGGGUACUGAGACAAGGACCCAGGCCCUACGGGGCGCAGCAGUCGCGAAACCUUUGCAAUAAGCGAAAGCUUGACAGGGCUAUCCCGAGUGCCAUCCGCUGAGGAAGGCUUUUACCCAGUCUAGAAAGCUGGGGGAAUAAGGAGAGGGCAAGUCUGGUGU